rnacentral:tRNA from 1 species
AGGGGUUUAGGUUAAAAAAACCAAAGGCCUUCAAAGCCUUAAAUAGAGGUGGAAACCCUUUAAUCCCUG